CGCCAUGUGGUUUAAAAACUUAAUUAUCCACCCAACUUGCUCACAGUAUCGAAAAAUUGCUGAAUUAGAAUCAAACCAAGACUUAAUUUUAUUUGUGUAACUACCAAAUCCAUCCAUCCAAACUUUCUAAACUACUGUUUAUAUAUUCUCUCCCUUGCUGUACAAAAUGUUGAUCUAACUAGCUAGAAUCAAACAGCUCACACAUUACAUAGUAACUCUUACAUCUCGGUAUUCAACUUUCUGACACCAUACGGGUGAGUAUUAGUGUUACUCCCUUUUCUCUUGCUUCUCUGUCUAUCUUUGGUUGGUCUACUGCAGUACAUGAAUCCAUGAUGCUACCGCUAGAACUAAAAGGAGUAUUUACAUAUGUCAGUACUGCAUCACAGAAUGAAAGACAUGAGAUUUUUAAUCUCUGUACGGACAAAGACACAUUCAUUCAAACCUUCACUUAUGGCUUAGCACACCGUUCUUUGAGCACCAACCCGGCCUAACCCACAACUGCAACUUUUGAGUCAGCUUCAGAAAUCUUGUAACAAGGUAGUUGAUGGGACCCCAUCUUCAUACUUGAGUCUCCAAGUAUUCAAUUCAUAAUUAUUAAUGGCGAUGGAUCUUAUCUCAAACUCAAGGAGAAGGAAACCAAUAAUUGAGAAUGAUCGAGCAUCGAUUCAGCCAUGCGACCACUUUCUCUUAUGUUUUUUGUUUUAUUAAAGCAACAGAUAUGAUUGAUGUGAAACGACAUCACUCCUUUCACUUCUUGUUCCAAUGGUGAACACAGACUAUCAGUUCAUAAGCUUAUUCAAGGUGUCAUAAUCUAAUAGCUUGUCACACUCCUUUUCCAUGUACUGUUUCUUAGAGGAGGGGAGAAGACACCCAAAUAAGUUUUUCCUAGUUUCCGAACAAACAAACAAACAAACGUUUGGUAUGCUCGUUUGUCACUCUUUAUUUUUCGCAAACAAGAAGGUACCGUGGUAAUUAAGAGUAAGAGACAAAGAACUUAAAACACGAGUGAGAAAACAUACUUGAUCGUAGUUUCGUAAAUGUAACAAGGAAGAGAGAAAAUUUAAUCCAUUCAGACUUGCAUCUGAAGACUACACUACUACUUGACUGACUAAUUACGUGAAUGUAGACAUCCUUCAAACUAAGAACGACACUUUUGUCUUUCCUUUUCCAUACAUUUUUGUUCUGACCUGAACAAGAAAUACAAAACAUCCAUUCUAACCAAGUUGAACUUCCUUUUUAUGGCAGGAUAGGGAUGUACAUGUCAUUUCACAUUCUCAUCUACACCCGGGAACGUGCUCGUUGGGACAUAUGUUUCCACUCCACCAAGCGUUGAAGAAAGCUCAUCACCUGCAUGAAAUGAGUACAUAAAUAAUACUGAUCAGUUAUAUUGAAAAAGGCAUAGGAGAAAAUCGAGUAAGAAAAUAUGAAGUGAGAAAAUUCUGCUUGCCUCGUUUGGUUCUUGUAAAGAGUAAGAUGCACUUGUGUCUUUCGGAAAUUUGGAGACAAGAAUACCAAAACCUUGUCCUCUGUCUCUCAAUUUCUGCUCAUCAGAAAAAUGGGAAACCAUUUAGUUUUUGAAGCCAUAACAUAACUAUUCCAAAUAACAUAGUUAUUACACAAACUAAGUAAAAAGAGCUGUUUUUCGUAGGGAAAUAAAUUUCUAUUAAGAAAAAAUAAUAAUUGAGAUCUUUGGAUACCUUGAAAGCAUCUUCAUCGGAUCGAUCAUCGCCAAUAUAAACAGGAAAUACAUCACUGCAAUUGGCCAAACCUGUGGGAAAUUAUUUGAAAUUGAGAUGAUGGUGGACAAUUAAAAAAGAAAAAAAAACUUCAAUAUAAAUUAAGAUUCACAUGUGUCAAAACAAUGUUUAACUGGUAAACUAAUCACUUAGAGUAUGGGAGUUUUCCUUUAUUUAUUUGUGGGAGUCAAAACUCUGAAGAGUUACGUAACUUUAGCCAUCAGUAAUACGUGUUUUAUAAAAUAUGUUCAGCAAACGUUGAAUUGUGAAACUAAAACUCACCAAGGGACUCUAAUAAAAAUUCCAGGGCCUUCCCUUUGUCCCAUUUAAUAGUCGGACGAAUCUCUAGCACCUGUGUAAAAUAAAUGACUAUCUCUGAGAAAUUAACAUGGCAAGAAAAUAGAUAAAAAAAACAAGAAAACAGAAACAUGGCCCACCUUUCUUCCUUGGGUAAGUCGGAGCUUCGGGUAGUCCUUUAAAACUGAUUUCACUUGGCGUGCCAGGUCACUCCAUUUCUACGUAUAGUGCAUUUGGUUUAGACUUUUUUCGUGAACAGAGAAAUAGUCCACACGAUAUAAAAAAAGAAAAGAAACUCGACCAGGAACAAAAACAAUGCAAAUAGUUAUAGCGAAUGUCUGAAAAACGGAUGGCUUCAUGGCUUAUAGUUUGCACCUUUUCAUCAACACAACGAAAAUGAACAGAGAGGCAGAACUUGUUGUUCUCAACCAUGGCUCCAGGAGUUGAUUUGGUCUUCUCAACCAAUUGUUGGUACACCUGAAAUUUUGCACACCCAGAGGAAAUUAAAAAAAGAAGUGAUCUUAGCAUUGUGGAAACAAAACCAUUUGGCUCUCUACACGAACCUCAUCUAUCAUGGGAAGAAAAUCGCUGGCAGGUUGAAAAAGAAUUGCCUCAGCUUUGC
rnacentral:sRNA from 1 species